GUUCCUUUACUGAAAACGCGGCUUCUUCAGGCAACACCAUGGGUACGCGCCACAGCACUGACCCCCCUACACCCCAAUAACCAGUCGGUCCAAAAGGCGCGGGCAACGGGAUGCAGCGGGUACGCCGAUAGCGAGAGCGCAUCCUCAUUGAGGAAAUACAAAGACGCAUGCGGCGGAAUGCAUUUUUCCGGCCCCACUGGCUUCUUUCGUCCGUUCAGUGUCACCAACAGGGAUCUAACGAAGAAGCUCCAAGCUGAAGCUGUACACACCGUCAGAGUGUCACCUCACGCAGAAAUGCUCCCCUCCAUACGUUAAAAACGGCCGCCGCCCCGUGGCAAAAUGGCGUUGUCAAGCAGGGGUCUUUUUCGAGGCACUGCAUUUGAGCAAGAACGGAGUAAACCCCGAAGACUGCGAAAAGAAACGGACUCCUGUCUUCAGAGUCAUUCUGCCAGUCCCACUUCCGACGCAUAAUGUGUGCCGAGACGUUUAUCAGUCAACCCCCCAUCUGGUAAAGGCGACAGUCGACUCCGCUUCUGGACGUAUAAAGAGUGCUAUAUCGAUUAAUCGUUGAAAAUCCUGGCAGAAUGGAUGACCUUGCAGGC
rnacentral:lncRNA from 1 species